AGUAAAUAAUUAGAAAACCGUCGUGCUAAGCCCAUAGUCCCACCGCAUUAGGAAAGAUCAUCGCCAAUUAAGAAAAUCGUAGAUUGAAAGGAUGAAACCUGUAAACAGGUAAAAGACAAACGACCAGAUCCAAACAGGCCCACUGAAAACUAGUACCGACCGAAUCCCAUAAGACCCGACAACCGAAUCCCAUAAGACCCGACAGAGACUGAAAACUAGUACCGACCGAAUCCCAUAAGACCCGACAACCGAAUCCCACAAGACCCGACAGAGACUCCACACGCCACAACUCCACACGCUCUUCAGUGAAGCAUGAGACUCGACGAAGAGACGCCUCCACAUGCUCUGAGGAGACGCACAAUCAAAAUCGAAACGGGGAUAGAACAUGAAAGACAAUAUUCCUACUUUGAAACAUCACCGUCGCCACACAGCCCCAUCCAAUCCAAGACAAUGAACCUAGCAAGAACAAGACCAGGUCCUCCCGCUGGCUAGGAGCCGAGGUCCCCUGCACCUCCAUGGCCCAAAGGAGGUCAGAGGUGAGGCGGAGCGGCCGCGGCGACGGAGGCAGGAGGAAAGACUUCUAUUGUGAGGAAGGAAAGAACUUUGACUUGCCCGGUAGCACAGACAUUAGCCAUACACCAACUCGAAUGACCCCAAAUCUAGCUCGUACAACUAUCAACACCGAUCACACACGAAGAAGGCAGAAGGAAAUACCCUUGAUCAUUAUACAGAAGGCUAGCGAGCUCAUUAUACACCAGCGAGUGAUCAUUUAGGUCAUACAUGGUCCAAGAAGCGAAUCCGUGUCAACUGAGGCGCGCAGAUGUCGACGUUGCUCAGUGGUGUCCAGGGAGCUUCUCCUUGAUCUUCUCCAUGAUGCCCUUCUUCUCGUGCGUCCCAGUCCCAGCCGGCGGCAUUGCGUGCCCGGCCUUGUGCUCCUCCUGCUUGUGGCUGCCCGGGAGCUUCUCCUUUAUCUUCUCCUUCAUGCUCUUCUUCUUCCUCUGCCUCCCGCCCUGCCCGUCAUCCUCGGACGACUGCACCACACGUAACUCAUUAGCAAGUCAGUGAGUCAACUAGGACGGCAACUAGUAUGUGCCGUCCUAUGACCAAAUAAAGCCCCACAUGCCGAACAAAUUAAACGAGCGAAAAAUGUAAGUACCGAG
rnacentral:lncRNA from 1 species